rnacentral:tRNA from 1 species
UCCUAGGUGUCUCAGUGGUAAAGAAUCUGCCUGCCAAGCAGGAAAUGCAGGUUCGACCCCUGCAUCAGGAA